rnacentral:rRNA from 1 species
CCUACGGGAGGCAGCAGUGGGGAAUUUUCCGCAAUGGGCGAAAGCCUGACGGAGCAACGCCGCGUGAGGGAUGAAGGCCUCUGGGCUGUAAACCUCUUUUAUCAAGGAAGAAGAUCUGACGGUACUUGAUGAAUAAGCCACGGCUAAUUCCGUGCCAGCAGCCGCGGUAAUACGGGAGUGGCAAGCGUUAUCCGGAAUUAUUGGGCGUAAAGCGUCCGCAGGCGGUCUUGUAAGUCUGUCGUUAAAGCGUGGAGCUCAACUCCAUUUCGGCGGUGGAGACUACAAGACUAGAGUGUGGUAGGGGCAGAGGGAAUUCCCGGUGUAGCGGUGAAAUGCGUAGAUAUCGGGAAGAACACCAGUGGCGAAGGCGCUCUGCUGGGCCAUAACUGACGCUCAUGGACGAAAGCUAGGGGAGCGAAAGGGAUUAGAUACCCCUGUAGUCCUAGCCGUAAACGAUGAACACUAGGUGUCGGGGGAAUCGACCCCCUCGGUGUCGUAGCUAACGCGUUAAGUGUUCCGCCUGGGGAGUACGCACGCAAGUGUGAAACUCAAAGGAAUUGACGGCUGAACGAGCGACGACGACGACGACGGAGGAG